GUAAAUUUGUAUUUGCCGCAUUAUA
rnacentral:sRNA from 1 species